ACGCUAGCUACAGGCUUAACACAUGCAAGUCGAGGGGCAUCAGGAAGAAAGCUUGCUUUCUUUGCCGGCGACCGGCGCACGGGUGAGUAACACGUAUCCAACCUGCCCUUUACUCGGGGACAGCCUUUCGAAAGAAAGAUUAAUACCCGAUAGCAUAAUGAUUCCGCAUGGUUUCAUUAUUAAAGGAUUCCGGUAAAGGAUGGGGAUGCGUUCCAUUAGGUUGUUGGUGAGGUAACGGCUCACCAAGCCUUCGAUGGAUAGGGGUUCUGAGAGGAAGGUCCCCCACAUUGGAACUGAGACACGGUCCAAACUCCUACGGGAGGCAGCAGUGAGGAAUAUUGGUCAAUGGGCGCUAGCCUGAACCAGCCAAGUAGCGUGAAGGAUGAAGGCUCUAUGGGUCGUAAACUUCUUUUAUAUAAGAAUAAAGUGCAGUAUGUAUACUGUUUUGUAUGUAUUAUAUGAAUAAGGAUCGGCUAACUCCGUGCCAGCAGCCGCGGUAAUACGGAGGAUCCGAGCGUUACCCGGAUUUAUUGGGUUUAAAGGGAGCGUAGGUGGACUGGUAAGUCAGUUGUGAAAGUUUGCGGCUCAACCGUAAAAUUGCAGUUGAUACUGUCAGUCUUGAGUACAGUAGAGGUGGGCGGAAUUCGUGGUGUAGCGGUGAAAUGCUUAGAUAUCACGAAGAACUCCGAUUGCGAAGGCAGCUCACUGGACUGCAACUGACACUGAUGCUCGAAAGUGUGGGUAUCAAACAGGAUUAGAUACCCUGGUAGUCCACACAGUAAACGAUGAAUACUCGCUGUUUGCGAUAUACAGUAAGCGGCCAAGCGAAAGCAUUAAGUAUUCCACCUGGGGAGUACGCCGGCAACGGUGAAACUCAAAGGAAUUGACGGGGGCCCGCACAAGCGGAGGAACAUGUGGUUUAAUUCGAUGAUACGCGAGGAACCUUACCCGGGCUUAAAUUGCAGUGGAAUGAUGUGGAAACAUGUCAGUGAGCAAUCACCGCUGUGAAGGUGCUGCAUGGUUGUCGUCAGCUCGUGCCGUGAGGUGUCGGCUUAAGUGCCAUAACGAGCACAACCCUUAUCUUCAGUUACUAACAGGUCAUGCUGAGGACUCUGGAGAGACUGCCGUCGUAAAAUGUGAGGAAGGUGGGGAUGACGUCAAAUCAGCACGGCCCUUACGUCCGGGGCUACACACGUGUUACAAUGGGGGGUACAGAAGGCAGCUAGCGGGUGACCGUAUGCUAAUCCCAAAAUCCUCUCUCAGUUCGGAUCGAAGUCUGCAACCCGACUUCGUGAAGCUGGAUUCGCUAGUAAUCGCGCAUCAGCCACGGCGCGGUGAAUACGUUCCCGGGCCUUGUACACACCGCCCGUCAAGCCAUGGGAGCCGGGGGUACCCGAAGUACGUAACCGCAAGGAUCGUCCUAGGGUAAAGCUGGUGACUGGG
rnacentral:rRNA from 1 species